rfam:Desulfosporosinus lacus DSM 15449 genome assembly, contig: EJ50DRAFT_scaffold00002.2
GUAAAUGCUGGGAUAGGGAGCAGUACUGUGGAACCCUCUUAAGAGAGGCGGCGGAAGGUGCAAGCCGUUAUUGGGAACUUCGGGAACUCGCCCUGGAGCUGUGUUCAGGUUACAAUGAACACCGGUGCGAACCGUUAAGAUCGCUUAAGCACUAAUGAAGAUGGGUGGUACCACGGGAGUAGAUCUCUCGUCCCUUUA